rnacentral:lncRNA from 1 species
GGCCAAACCACCACCGAUCUGUGUUCUACCUGCGCGCCCCGCUCCAUGGUCGCCCGGCUGCAUGAAUCCUCGCUUCCCCCCGACGGGAAUGGUGGCCCACCGCCGGCAAGACCGCAGAUCCGGCGAGUGCGCCGCCCCUGCUUCUGCCUCCCGCCGUCGCAGCACUACACCACCGCCUCCUCGUCCCCUCCCCUAACAAGCGGCGCUUGCCAACAGUACACACACCGCCGGCGCCGCUCUGUCCUCCUCAAGCACGAGCACGCACCACUCCUCCUCCUCUCGCGCUCCGGCUGGGUGCGUGGGGCGUGCGCUGAAUGGUAGAAGAAGAUAGGAAGGUGCG